GAUCAUGACCUGACUCAAAAUCAGGAGUGGGUGCUCAACCGACUGAGCCACCCAAGCGCCCCUCGUUUUGCCUUUUUAAAGACUGUCUCAGAGUAGUAGUGUGUACGUCUGUCGGGGGCGCGCCGUGUCAGGUUGUCUCUUUUUGAGAUGUAAGGCCAUUGAUGAUCAUUUCCUAGAUUUCUCCAUUCAGUAGGGUUUGUAAACAGUAAUUAAUAGCUGUCUACGUCUAUAAAGAAAAAUUCUCCGUGUGUGUUUUGCUACCUUAAGGUAUAGUGUGUGUGGGACUUGGGUGAUAGAGGAGUGACACUUUACCCUGGGGAGUUUUCAAACUAACGACCUGGUUGCCCAGAAUCCUUCAAAGGUGAGCAGUCAGGUUCUUUUUUCCUUUAGGUAUGAAGAAUUGUGA